AAUUGGCAUCCAACAAGAUCACAAAGUUCAUCAGCAUUGAUGGUUAUUCUGGACGUCUUCCUCUGGAGGUUGCUUUGCAAAUUCUUGCAAAUAAAGGCCCCAGGGUGGAGGAAAUCGUUCAGCUUCUGGACUGGCGGCUGGAUCCUGACUAUUACUUUAUGGUCCUAGAGCGGCCCGUGCCCUGUCAGUCCUUGUUUCAGUAUUUAAAGUGCUACAAGGGCAUCAUGGACGAGGACUUUGCUCGAGUUAUAAUGAACCAGGCAAUAUUUGCGGCUCGGAUGUGCUGCCUUCGUGGAGUGUUGCACCGGGACAUAAAGCUGGAAAACCUUCUGAUCAACCCGGACACACUCGAAGUCAAAUUGAUUGACUUUGGUUGUGGUGCAAUCCUCACCGACGGGGGUUACACGUCCUUUACUGGCACAAGAGAGUACUGCCCUCCUGAGUAUCACAUGACCGGCCAGUACCACGGGGAACCAGCGACAGUGUGGUCACUCGGGAUCCUCUUGUUUGUGAUUCUUUUCAGUAAAUAUCCAAAGAGACGACACCUGCACGAGAUUAACGAUAAAAACUGGACUAAAGCUGGCCUGUCGAAAGAAUGCUGCGAUUUAAUUCGCCGGUGUCUACAGAUCGACCCAAAGCAGCGGAUUGAACUGGGGAAACUCAGUCUCCACGACUGGCUUAUGACUGCAGACAAGGAGAAUAACAACGACACAAUAAUGGACAUCAAUUCAUGCCGUUAUGAAAUCGUCUGUCAGCUGGGUGAUGGAGGCUUUGGAACCGUUUAUGCAGCGACUCGUUUGGACGACGGCCUACAGGUGGCGAUAAAAGUCGUCUCCAGCAGGAACAGAAUGUUCAUCAGUAUUGACGGUUGUUCCAAGCCUCUUCCUCUGGAGGUUGCUUUGCAAAUCCUUGCAGACGGAGACCCCAGGGUCGAGGAAAUCAUCCAGCUUCUGGACUGGCGGGUGGAGUCUGACCACUACAUUUUGGUGCUAGAGCGUCCCGUUCCCUUUGAGGAACUGAACUGGUUUCUCCUGCAGCAAAUGGGUACCAUUCAAGAGGACAUGGCACGAGUUAUAAUGCGCCAGGCAACAUUCGCAGCUCAAACAUGCUGCAGACGUGGAGUGUUUCAUCAGGACAUAAAGCUGGAAAAGCUUCUGAUCAACCCGGACACACUCAAAGUCAAGUUAACUGACUUUGGGUGUGGUGACUUCCUCAGCUGUGUGGGUUACACGUCCUUUGUUGGCACAAGAGAGUACUGCCCUCCUGAGUAUCACAUGACCGGCCAGUACCACGGGGAACCAGCGACAGUGUGGUCACUCGGGAUCCUCUUGUUUCUUAUGCUGUGUGGGGAUUUUCCAAAUACACCAGACCUGCACAUGAUCGACGGUCACAACUGGACCAAAGAUGGCUUGUCGGAAGAAUGCAGCGAUUUUAUUUGCUGCUGUCUGCAAAUCAAUCCAAAAGAGCGGAUUGAACUGGAGAAACUUAGUCUCCACGACUGGUUUAUGGAUUGCUGAAAUGAGGGGAGCAAAAGAAAAUAGUGAUCAACUGGAAGUUCCUUGUGAAGAACAGAGGACACGUUGUGUACGAAUGUGCAAUUAGAAGAAAAUUUUAAUAUGAAAGCUCAGAAUAUGUUUUUCAGCCAUUUUGACAGCCCUACAACUUCCCCUUUAUUUGCAUCUGGAGGUGAGCUGAGCGCCCAAUGUGCAAAGACUCCUAAAGAACCGGACAGCAGAUCUCCCUGUCCUCCGCAACGCCGGCCACUGCUCUCCUGGUUACAGGUAAGAUGGCCCAAGGCGAUGCUCAGUUUCUGAACACUUCUCUUGUAGUCAGAUAAAAAGCUGAGGAAGAGUGUGUGCAUAAAGAAGAAGAAAAGGCUCGUAGGGAGCUGAUCAAACAAUGAACAAUAAGACCCAGGUUUCAUCCUCUAAUGCACCAUGAACUAAUGAAAAAUGUCCAAGUGUCCGAUGUAUAAAACAGGUAUAUGCCACUACACUAUAUACUUGGUUUAGAUGUUGUUGAGCAUCACUAGACAGUUACACCAUGAUUUAAUUAUCAUAUUGCUAAUGCAUAUAGGACAACAGCAUGAAAACAGUUGUUGUAGGUACAUUUUAAAAAUUUGCUAGGUUAGUCUGAGAGGUUGCUAAAUAUUGAAAAAAAAUUGCUAACACCAACAGAGAGUCCUUCUGGAGUUACACGUUCCCUUAUAUGGAUAGGAAAGAAAUGUAACUGUUAAUUAUAAAGUGUGAGUAAAAGGGAAACUUAGCUGUCUUGCUGAAUUGUUUCAGUUUCUCAUCCAUAAUAGCAUCAGUGCAGUGUGUAAAAGUGGAAA